UCAAAGUGGAAAUGCUCAAAUGAGUAAAAAAUCAGGCUCUGCCCUUGGAGAACUUAGAGUUCUGAUUUCUAUAACAAUUUGGUUGUGCAUUUGUAGUCAAUCCCCAAAUAUAUUUGCUUUUGAGUACCUGAAAGCCUAAUGCUUGCUGCAAGCUCUGGAAGAGGUUUUAAAAAUCCAGUGAUCAUUCAAAGGCGUGAGCAACUCCAGGUGAUGAAGUGACGGAGAAAGAGUUUACGGAGACAUGGCUUUUGAAGUGAGGGAAAAAAGAAAAGCCUGAGGAAAAGAAGAUUUCUCGUAAGCAGUGGAAAAGUUGAGCAAAAAUGCAGGACCUGGCCUGCUAGGGGUGACAGAACCUGUGGCGGACCCCGUGGAGCUACGGAGAAACAUGAGGAAGCUGAGAAGCAGACUCCUUGACAUGGCAACAGUAGAAAUGAGGAGAUGCCAAAGAGACAGAAUCUGGUAACUCUUGAAGAGCCAGCCUGUAAGUGUUCAUGGACAACAUCCUUAUAAAUGAAGUUUUUGCAAAAGAUAGGCAUAGACAAAAAUUCAUGUGGUGCCGUGGGACAGGAUUCACUGAAGAUUUUUAAUAUCAGUUGAAUUUGGAUCUUAGUUUCAAAUAAGUAAGCUGUUUCAAAUAAGGAGAAAAUAAAAUGAGGUCUUCUUUUUGAUGACAAGCUCUGACUUUGGAAUCACACAGACCUGGGCUGGGAGUCGUGCUCCGCCGUUUGCUAGGUUGUGACACAUUGGAUAAAUCGCUCAACUUCUGUAAGCCUCAAUUUCCUCCUUUAGAAAGUAAAAAUAAUAUCUGACAAGACUAUUACAAGAAUUACAUGAGAUGUUGUGAACAACGCCCUUCACACAGGGUCUGGUGCUUAGUCAUUGGUUGUAAAAGAGAAUGUGACAUUGAUCUAUGUCUCCAUUAAAUGGUGUAGGAAAGAAUA